UACUAAAGAUGCAGUAUCCUAGUUGGUACCAUUAAUCUCGAAGACGGGCCUAAAAAUCCGUAAAAGGGCAUAUCGAUGAAGUUCCUGGUGUUGGCUGGUGACGCCCAGUCGCGGGCUUAUGCUGGGAGUUAAGACAUAAGGGCGAUCCACAAUGGCAUGUGGGCGUGGACCCUUUUGUCGUGGAGACCUGCGUAUGUGGAAACUGUUAGAUACAGUUAUCUACGGCGCGGGAGUAAACCUGUCAUGCGGCGAAAGCUGUGGACAGAGUAGCCUGCCUUGCGUGAAAUAAAGGGGAUAGUAAUUUAAGAGCAAAACUUUUGGCCAAAAGUGAAGCAGAUAUUGUUACUUGAAACUUUUUUUCGCUAAAGAGGCUAGGGAUUAAAUGGUAUCACUGAGGAAAACUCCUAGGCUGUUCAUUUUUUGAAGCUUAUUUAGGAUUACAGUGUGGUUGUAAGGUGAUCUAGCGCUACUUAUGGUGACAUAGUAGGAAUUAAUUUAAUGGGGAACCACUUUUUUGGCGACAAAAAAGUAUUAAUUCGGGAAAACCUGCUGGACUAUAAGCCGCAAAAUUUACUAAAUUUGCUAUCUUUAGUAUUAA
rnacentral:sRNA from 1 species